GAUGAACGCUGGCGGCGUGCCUAAUACAUGCAAGUCGAGCGAACAGACGAGGAGCUUGCUCCUUUGACGUUAGCGGCGGACGGGUGAGUAACACGUGGAUAACCUACCUAUAAGACUGGGAUAACUUCGGGAAACCGGAGCUAAUACCGGAUAACAUGUUGAACCGCGUGGUUCAACAGUGAAAGACGGUCUUGCUGUCACUUAUAGAUGGAUCCGCGCCGCAUUAGCUAGUUGGUAAGGUAACGGCUUACCAAGGCAACGAUGCGUAGCCGACCUGAGAGGGUGAUCGGCCACACUGGAACUGAGACACGGUCCAGACUCCUACGGGAGGCAGCAGUAGGGAAUCUUCCGCAAUGGGCGAAAGCCUGACGGAGCAACGCCGCGUGAGUGAAGAAGGUCUUCGGAUCGUAAAACUCUGUUAUUAGGGAAGAACAAAUGUGUAAGUAACUAUGCACGUCUUGACGGUACCUAAUCAGAAAGCCACGGCUAACUACGUG
rnacentral:rRNA from 1 species